UAGGGAAUCUUCGGCAAUGGGGGCAACCCUGACCGAGCAACGCCGCGUGAGUGAAGAAGGUUUUCGGAUCGUAAAGCUCUGUUGUAAGAGAAGAACGUGUGUGAGAGUGGAAAGUUCACACAGUGACGGUAACUUACCAGAAAGGGACGGCUAACUACGUGCCAGCAGCCGCGGUAAUACGCAGGUCCCGAGCGUUGUCCGGAUUUAUUGGGCGUAAAGCGAGCGCAGGCGGUUUAAUAAGUCUGAAGUUAAAGGCAGUGGCUUAACCAUUGUUCGCUUUGGAAACUGUUAAACUUGAGUGCAGAAGGGGAGAGUGGAAUUCCAUGUGUAGCGGUGAAAUGCGUAGAUAUAUGGAGGAACACCGGUGGCGAAAGCGGCUCUCUGGUCUGUAACUGACGCUGAGGCUCGAAAGCGUUGGGAGCAAACAGG
rnacentral:rRNA from 1 species